rnacentral:tRNA from 1 species
GCUGUAGCGCAAUUGAUAGCGCGUUGGAAUUCGAAUCCAUGGGUCGUGGGUUCGAAUCCCACCUGAAUUA